AAAGAUUAUUUAAAUAUUUACAUCACUUGUAUGUGGGGCUUCAGGUAGAUGGUCAUACACUGAUUGGAGACCAGUUAAAAUAAAGUAUUAUGUUAUAUUUUGGAAGACCCAGUUAUCUAAUUCUAUAGUACUUACCGGGGAAAUUGAUACCUAUGCAGGGUGAUUCAAUCAAUUGGAAACACUCAUUAUCUCGGAAAGUAUUAACUUUUUUCGAAAUUUUUUUUU